CAGAAAAUACUAGAAUUGAAGACAUAUGUCAUUCAAUGUAUUGUCGAGAUCCCUUGAAAUCUGGUGACUGUAAAUUGAUGGAAGCAUAUACCGGGACGUCCUGUGGCGAUGGAAAAAUCUGUAUGUAUGGAAAAUGUGUCAGCGACCCAUACGCUCCACAAGUUGAUGAGACUUGCGUAUUCGGAGACGUACAAGAAGAUCAAUGCAAAUCAUUGAUCAGUACAUUUGUAGGCAACUGUUACCAAAGUAAAC
rnacentral:sRNA from 1 species